ensembl:lncRNA
CUUUAUGCUGCUAAAACUCCUCUGACCCAGUGGUUCAUCAGAACCUCUGGGGUGUCCUGUGGAUUCUGUGGGUCCUGUGGGUUGCAGGGUGGGUCCUACCUAGACCAGGCUGAUCCUGGACCAUCCCACAGAUGCUCCAUCAGAUCUGGAUGUGGGGAGUGUGGAACCCAGAUGUUCAGAGGGAGAUGAUGCCACAUCUGGUCCAGCUGAUGGAAGGUCUUGAAGUUCUCUGACUGGCCUCGACUGAAGAUGGUCGUCUCACUGGAUUUAAGAUGCACAAUGAGGGACGUCUGCAGAGACUGAGAAAGAGUCUCACCACAUCCUGACAUGAGGAAAAAGACUUUAUUGAAGACUACAAUGAGAAAAACUAUCAGACAGCAGACGGCUGCAUUCAAGGCUACAGGAGGAGUCCUACGAGGACGAGCCGGUCCACCUGAUGGCGGCCAGUCGCUGCAGUUCAAAGCCAACACCGACUACGUGGACUUCUACUGGACCACACGGAGGCCUUCAAACUGGACCAACAAGUUCAGCGACUCCCCGACUCGUGGGUCUGAGGACGCUGCCGAGCCUCGGCUCAGCCGGCCUCCUGUCUGUGGGUGUUUGAGUGCUGAGAGGUUUGUGGAUGCAUGUGAACGUGUCUGUGUUGAAACAGCAGCUUUGGACUCACUAACGCUGGGAAAAACCAAGAGCUCCUUUAUUUGUGACUUCCACUAAAAAGCUGAAGAAAAUAAGUUUGCCAGGG